CCCAGACAGCCAGGAUGUUGGCUUAGAAGCAGCCAUCAUUUAAAGAAAGCGUAAUAGCUCACUGGUCGAGUCGGCCUGCGCGGAAGAUGUAACGGGGCUAAACCAUGCACCGAAGCUGCGGCAGCGACACUAUGUGUUGUUGGGUAGGGGAGCGUUCUGUAAGCCUGCGAAGGUGUGCUGUGAGGCAUGCUGGAGGUAUCAGAAGUGCGAAUGCUGACAUAAGUAACGAUAAAGCGGGUGAAAAGCCCGCUCGCCGGAAGACCAA
rnacentral:rRNA from 1 species